rnacentral:rRNA from 1 species
AUUGAACGCUGGUGGCAGGCCUAACACAUGCAAGUCGAACGGUAACAGGAAGAAGCUUGCUUCUUUGCUGACGAGUGGCGGACGGGUGAGUAAUGUCUGGGAAACUGCCUGAUGGAGGGGGAUAACUACUGGAAACGGUAGCUAAUACCGCAUAACGUCGCAAGACCAAAGAGGGGGACCUUCGGGCCUCUUGCCAUCGGAUGUGCCCAGAUGGGAUUAGCUAGUAGGUGGGGUAACGGCUCACCUAGGCGACGAUCCCUAGCUGGUCUGAGAGGAUGACCAGCCACACUGGAACUGAGACACGGUCCAGACUCCUACGGGAGGCAGCAGUGGGGAAUAUUGCACAAUGGGCGCAAGCCUGAUGCAGCCAUGCCGCGUGUAUGAAGAAGGCCUUCGGGUUGUAAAGUACUUUCAGCGGGGAGGAAGGGAGUAAAGUUAAUACCUUUACUCAUUGACGUUACCCGCAGAAGAAGCACCGGCUAACUCCGU